rnacentral:rRNA from 1 species
GAUGAACGCUGGCGGCGUGCCUAAUACAUGCAAGUCGAGCGAACAGACGAGGAGCUUGCUCCUCUGACGUUAGCGGCGGACGGGUGAGUAACACGUGGAUAACCUACCUAUAAGACUGGGAUAACUUCGGGAAACCGGAGCUAAUACCGGAUAAUAUAUUGAACCGCAUGGUUCAAUAGUGAAAGAUGGUUUUGCUGUCACUUAUAGAUGGACCUGCGCCGCAUUAGCUAGUUGGUAAGGUAACGGCUUACCAAGGCAACGAUGCGUAGCCGACCUGAGAGGGUGAUCGGCCACACUGGAACUGAGACACGGUCCAGACUCCUACGGGAGGCAGCAGUAGGGAAUCUUCCGCAAUGGGCGAAAGCCUGACGGAGCAACGCCGCGUGAGUGAUGAAGGUCUUCGGAUCGUAAAACUCUGUUAUUAGGGAAGAACAAAUGUGUAAGUAACUGUGCACGUCUUGACGGUACCUAAUCAGAAAGCCACGGCUAACUACGUG